AACGAACGCUGGCGGCAUGCCUAACACAUGCAAGUCGAACGAGACCUUCGGGUCUAGUGGCGCACGGGUGCGUAACGCGUGGGAACCUGCCCUUAGGUUCGGAAUACCUCCCCGAAAGGGGUGCUAAUACCGGAUAAUGUCCUCGGACCAAAGAUUUAUCGCCUUUGGAUGGGCCCGCGUUGGAUUAGCUGGUUGGUAGGGUAAAAGCCUACCAAGGCGACGAUCCAUAGCUGGUCUGAGAGGAUGAUCAGCCACACUGGGACUGAGACACGGCCCAGACUCCUACGGAAGGCAGCAGUGGGGAAUAUUGGACAAUGGGCGAAAGCCUGAUCCAGCAAUGCCGCGUGAGUGAUGAAGGCCUUAGGGUUGUAAAGCUCUUUUACCCGGGAUGAUAAUGACAGUACCGGGAGAAUAAGCUCCGGCUAACUCCGUG
rnacentral:rRNA from 1 species